UACGUAGGGUGCAAGCGUUAAUCGGAAUUACUGGGCGUAGAGCGUGCGCAGGCGGUUUUGUAAGUCUGUCGUGGAAUCCCCGGGCUUAACCUGGGAAUGGCGAUGGAGACUGCAAGGCUAGAGUUUGGCAGAGGGGGGUAGAAUUCCACGUGUAGCAGUGAAAUGCGUAGAGAUGUGGAGGAACACCGAUGGCGAAGGCAGCCCCCUGGGUCAAAACUGACGCUCAUGCACGAAAGCGUGGGGAGCAAACAGG
rnacentral:rRNA from 1 species